AACGACUCUCGGCAACGGAUAUCUCGGCUCUCGCAUCGAUGAAGAACGUAGCGAAAUGCGAUACUUGGUGUGAAUUGCAGAAUCCCGUGAACCAUCGAGUCUUUGAACGCAAGUUGCGCCCGAAGCCAUCAGGUUGAGGGCACGUCUGCCUGGGCGUCACUC
rnacentral:rRNA from 1 species